CUUGGUCAUUUAGAGGAAGUAAAAGUCGUAACAAGGUUUCCGUAGGUGAACUUGCGGAAGGAUCAUCAACAAAUCCAAAACUUUGUCCCCAAACCAUUGUGUGAACCCUUUUCCUCUUCGCGGGGGAGAAGGCUUUUUUCCUUAGACCUUUGAUUUAUUUUGACUGAUUGUUUCUUUUUGUCUUUUCGAAGACAUUAAAACUAAAGAAAACAACUUUUAACAAUGGAUCUCUAGGUUCUCGCAUCGAUGAAGAACGCAGCGAAAUGCGAUAGGUAAUGUGAAUUGCAGAAUUCCGUGAAUCAUCAAAUCUUUGAACGCAAAUUGCGCUUUCGGGUAUUCCCGAGAGCACGCUUGUCUGAGUAUCAUUAAAAUUAUCAUCCUCCUUUAAUUCCUCACAACAUUUAUGUUGGGUGGUCAAUGGGAGUUAGAUGGAGAUUGAAGGUCUUUUUGCCUCUUUUGGCGACAAGUCCUUUUAAAUUCAGUUUCAUGGCAGCGAAAGUAAUGGUCUGGUAGAGGGGGGGCAAAACUCUCUUUUUUCCAGUCAAGUUAUCUUGGGCUUCUUCAUGAAAACGAUGCGUUAAAAAAAGUUAUUUUUUAACGACCUACAUCGGUUCAAAUUAGUAAUGAAGCAGUGUCUCAAAUUAAUGUUUUACUUUUUUGUUGUCUCCAACCGACCUUCUCUUUUUUCCUCGGAAAAAAAAAGAAGCCACUCCAAACAUGAUCUCAGAUCAAGUGAGACUACCCGCUGAACUUAAGCAUAUCAAUAAGCGGAGGAAAAGAAACUAACAAGGAUUCCCCUAGUAACGGCGAGUGAAGCGGGAACAGCUCAAAUUUAAAAUCUGGGAGUAAUCCCCAAAUUGUAGUUUAUAGGAACGUUUUCGGUAAUGGCCUGGGUAAAAGUCCUUUGGAACAGGGCAUCACAGAGGGUGAGAAUCCCGUUCAUGACCCAGAUCCUGUUGCUAUGUGAUACGUUUCCUAAGAGUCGGGUUGCUUGGGACUGCAGCCCAAAAUGGGUGGUAAAUUUCAUCUAAAGCUAAAUAUGGGCGAGAAACCGAUAGCGAACAAGUACCGUGAGGGAAAGAUGAAAAGCACCUUGAGAAGGGAGUCAAAUAGUACGUGAAAUUGUUAAAAGGGAAACGAUUGGAACUAGUGAUUGUUUGGUGGGAUUUAUUGUGGCCUGUCUUUGUGCUGGGAUUACCAGUGGUUAAACCUGGUGGUUUUGGCGUCCGGGGAUUGGCCGCAUGCACUUCCUAUUGAACUAGUCAACAUGAGUUUCGAAUGCCAGAUAAAGCCUGGGGGAAGGUAGGUUACUUCGGUGACUGUUUAGCCCCUGGGGUCUUAUGGUGAUUGAGACUGAGGAGUUGAGGCGUGGAGGUGUUUUUGAUCUCUUGGGUGGGGAAAUUGGAGGAAUUGCUUGCAAGUCCCUGGUUUGUCUGCCUAACGGGUUGGGGAUAUCCCGCGUUAAAGAUGUUGACGAAAUGGUUCUAACCGACCCGUCUUGAAACACGGACC
rnacentral:rRNA from 1 species